UAUUUUAAAAUAUGACAUGACAUGACAUACGGGAAUGCCAAAAACACAAAUCUGAUCUUACAGUCACUUACAGUCCCCUGCUUUUUUUAAACACACAGUUUUGUAUCCCUAAAAGUAGUUAGUUACUCAAUUAAAUUCUGCAUUCUGUACAUCAUCACCACCUUGCAACCUGUCCCAAAGUGGUCUCUGUUGUUAGCCCUCAACUUCCCCCCUUUUUUAUUAGUAUAUGAAGUAUUUACAGACAACAGGUCUGAUGCAUUUCCCCUUCAAAAGCUCUGUCCGCAAUGACCCUCCCUUUCCAGGAAGUGCUAAACAUGCUGAAGGAAAGCAAAGCAGACAUCUUUGUUGACCCGGUACUUCAUACUGCUUGUGCCCUGGACAUUAAACACCACUGCGCAGCCAUCACCCCUGGCCGCGGGCGUCAAAUGUCCUGUCUCAUGGAAGCACUGGAGGAUAAGCGGGUGAGGUUACAGCCCGAGUGCAAAAAGCGCCUCAAUGACCGGAUUGAGAUGUGGAGUUACGCAGCAAAGGUGGCCCCAGCAGAUGGCUUCUCUGAUCUUGCCAUGCAAGUAAUGACGUCUCCAUCUAAGAACUACAUUCUCUCUGUGAUCAGUGGGAGCAUCUGUAUAUUGUUCCUGAUUGGCCUGAUGUGUGGACGGAUCACCAAGCGAGUGAC
rnacentral:sRNA from 1 species